rnacentral:rRNA from 1 species
ACACGAACGGCGCACGGGUGCGUAACGCGUAUGCAANCUACCUAUAACAAGGGGAUAGCCCGGGGACAACCGUGAUUAUACCCUAUAAAGCAGGGGUACUGCAUGGUACUAUUUGCUANAGUUGAGGCGGUUAUAGAUGGGCAUGCGUUAGAUUAGCUAGUUGGUAAGGUAACGGCUUACCAAGGCGACGAUCUAUAGGGGUUCUGAGAGGAAGGUCCCCCACACUGGCACUGAGAUACGGGCCAGACUCCUACGGGAGGCAGCAGUAAGGAAUAUUGGUCAAUGGGCGAGAGCCUGAACCAGCCAUGCCGCGUGCAGGAAGACGGCCUUCUGGGUUGUAAACUGCUUUUAUACGGGAAGAAAAAGGUCUUGCGAGGCCAAUUGCCGGUACCGUAUGAAUAAGCACCGGCUAACUCCGUGCCAGCAGCCGCGGUAAUACGGAGGGUGCAAGCGUUGUCCGGAUUUAUUGGGUUUAAAGGGUGUGUAGGCGGUAGUUUAAGUCAGUGGUGAAAGUCUUGAGCUUAACUGAAGAAGUGCCAUUGAAACUGGAUUACUAGAGUAUAGUCGAGGUAGGCGGAAUUUAUGGUGUAGCGGUGAAAUGCAUAGAUACCAUAAAGAAACACCGAUAGCGAAGGCAGCUUACUAAGCUAUAACUGACGCUGAGGCACGAAAGCAUGGGUAUCGAACAGGAUUAGAUACCCUGGUAG